rnacentral:rRNA from 1 species
GGACGGGUGAGUAACACGUGGGUAACCUGCCUGUAAGACUGGGAUAACUCCGGGAAACCGGGGCUAAUACCGGAUGGUUGUUUGAACCGCAUGGUUCAAACAUAAAAGGUGGCUUCGGCUACCACUUACAGAUGGACCCGCGGCGCAUUAGCUAGUUGGUGAGGUAACGGCUCACCAAGGCAACGAUGCGUAGCCGACCUGAGAGGGUGAUCGGCCACACUGGGACUGAGACACGGCCCAGACUCCUACGGGAGGCAGCAGUAGGGAAUCUUCCGCAAUGGACGAAAGUCUGACGGAGCAACGCCGCGUGAGUGAUGAAGGUUUUCGGAUCGUAAAGCUCUGUUGUUAGGGAAGAACAAGUACCGUUCGAAUAGGGCGGUACCUUGACGGUACCUAACCAGAAAGCCACGGCUAACUACGUGCCAGCAGCCGCGGUAAUACGUAGGUGGCAAGCGUUGUCCGGAAUUAUUGGGCGUAAAGGGCUCGCAGGCGGUUUCUUAAGUCUGAUGUGAAAGCCCCCGGCUCAACCGGGGAGGGUCAUUGGAAACUGGGGAACUUGAGUGCAGAAGAGGAGAGUGGAAUUCCACGUGUAGCGGUGAAAUGCGUAGAGAUGUGGAGGAACACCAGUGGCGAAGGCGACUCUCUGGUCUGUAACUGACGCUGAGGAGCGAAAGCGUGGGGAGCGAACAGGAUUAGAUACCCUGGUAGUCCACGCCGUAAACGAUGAGU